rnacentral:rRNA from 1 species
AUUGAACGCUGGCGGCAUACUUUACACAUGCAAGUCGAACGGUAACAGGCCGCAAGGUGCUGACGAGUGGCGAACGGGUGAGUAAUGCAUCGGAACGUGCCCAGUCGUGGGGGAUAACUGCUCGAAAGAGCAGCUAAUACCGCAUACGAUCUAUGGAUGAAAGCGGGGGACCGUAAGGCCUCGCGCGAUUGGAGCGGCCGAUGUCAGAUUAGGUAGUUGGUGGGGUAAAGGCUCACCAAGCCAACGAUCUGUAGCUGGUCUGAGAGGACGACCAGCCACACUGGGACUGAGACACGGCCCAGACUCCUACGGGAAGCAGCAGUGGGGAAUUUUGGACAAUGGGGGCAACCCUGAUCCAGCAAUGCCGCGUGCAGGAAGAAGGCCUUCGGGUUGUAAACUGCUUUUGUACGGAACGAAACGGUCUGGGUUAAUACCCUGGGCUAAUGACGGUACCGUAAGAAUAAGCACCGGCUAACUACGUGCCAGCAGCCGCGGUAACAC